AGAGUUUGAUCAUGGCUCAGGAUGAACGCUAGCGGCAGGCUUAACACAUGCAAGUCGAGGGGCAGCGGGUCCAGCAAUGGAUGCCGGCGACCGGCGAAAGGGUGAGUAACGCGUGAGCAACAUGCCCGAUACUGGGGGAUAGUCAUUAGAAAUGAUGCGUAAUACCCCGUAACACAUCGUCCCGCAUGAGAUGAUGUUGAAAGAUUGAUUGGUAUCGGAUUGGCUCGCGUGCCAUUAGCUAGAUGGCGGGGUAACGGCCCACCAUGGCGACGAUGGCUAGGGGUUCUGAGAGGAAGGUCCCCCACAUUGGAACUGAGACACGGUCCAGACUCCUACGGGAGGCAGCAGUGAGGAAUAUUGGACAAUGGCCGGAAGGCUGAUCCAGCCAUGCCGCGUGCGGGAAGACGGCCCUAUGGGUUGUAAACCGCUUUUGCGGGGGAGCAAUAAGAGUCACGAGUGGCUCGAUGAGAGUACCCUGCGAAUAAGCAUCGGCUAACUCCGUGCCAGCAGCCGCGGUAAUACGGAGGAUGCAAGCGUUAUCCGGAUUUAUUGGGUUUAAAGGGUGCGCAGGCGGCUUGUUAAGCGGGAGGUGAAAUGCCGGCGCUCAACGUCGGAAGUGCCUCCCGAACUGGUGAGCUUGAAUGACUCUGCCGUGGGAGGAAUGUGUAGUGUAGCGGUGAAAUGCUUAGAGAUUACACAGAACACCGAUUGCGAAGGCAUCUCACGAAGGGUUGAUUGACGCUGAGGCACGAAAGCGUGGGGAUCAAACAGGAUUAGAUACCCUGGUAGUCCACGCAGUAAACGAUGAUGGCUAACCGCUGGGUUAUUCGAUUCAGUGGCCAAGCGAAAGCGAUAAGCCAUCCACCUGGGGAGUACGACCGCAAGGUUGAAACUCAAAGGAAUUGACGGGGGCCCGCACAAGCGGAGGAACAUGUGGUUUAAUUCGAUGAUACGCGAGGAACCUUACCCGGGCUCGAACGGCUGGUGAAGAGAUCCAGAGAUGGUGACGUCCUUCGGGACACCAGUCGAGGUGCUGCAUGGUUGUCGUCAGCUCGUGCCGUGAGGUGUCGGCUCAAGUGCCAUAACGAGCGCAACCCCUUUCCGCAGUUGCCAUCAGGUAGAGCUGGGCACUCUGCGGAUACUGCCACCGCAAGGUGUGAGGAAGGUGGGGAUGACGUCAAAUCAGCACGGCCCUUACGUCCGGGGCUACACGCGUGUUACAAUGGCGCAUACAGCGAGUUGGUCCCUGGCAACAGGGGUCUAAUCAAAAAAAUGCGUCGUAGUUCGGAUUGGGGUCUGCAACCCGACCCCAUGAAGCUGGAUUCGCUAGUAAUCGCGCAUCAGCCAUGGCGCGGUGAAUACGUUCCCGGGCCUUGUACACACCGCCCGUCAAGCCAUGAAAGCCGGGGGCACCUGAAGUCUGUGACCGCGAGGGGCGGCCUAAGGUGAAACUGGUAAUUGGGGCUAAGUCGUAACAAGGUAACC
rnacentral:rRNA from 1 species